rnacentral:lncRNA from 1 species
CGCCUAUUUGGUCGGAUUCGGGCAUGUCAACAGACGCCGAACGGACAACACCUCCCCUGUCAGCCUAAGGCUCUACCAAAAUAUGUAUAACAGUAACAAUUCAAACAUAAGAAUGCAAGUAUACAUGGCUUGCUCGAGGGCAAGCAACAUCAACCACAAGUGAAAGCAAUCUAACUAUUACAUUCAUACAUUGUAACUUGAUCACUUUCAAUCAAAUACAAAGCUUGUACAUUUACUUUACAUUCAUUCUUCCAAUUUACAUAACCAUCUCUCAAAUGAAUUAAUUACAUUUCAUAUACAAUUUACAUUCAUCGACAUAAUAGAUGAAACAUAUAUAGGGUGGCUCUACACACAAGGGUAGUCCGCUACCUAGAGCACGAUAACCAUGCCACGAGCAACGAUCGCCUCGCUUGCACUAGAACCUGCAUGGCUAGUGAGAUAAGAACUACAACAAAAUUUUCAGUGAAUUCGGCUGCCGACCUUGCCGACUUACCCACUAGGUCUAUUUAGGUAUAAGUAUUUCAAAGAAAGAAAAUAGCAAACCAUACUAAUGUUAAUACUAUGCCUGCAAAAAAACUGUCAACAGAUAGAUAAUCAUAUGUAUAAUGAAUAUGCAUACAUGCUCUGUCCACAUUUUACCUUGGCUUUUACCCAAUCAUACCGGUUAACCUUGUUAACCCCAAAACUCACAACCCAAAAUCUCUAUCAUUCGA